AAUGGGGGAAACCCUGACGCAGCAACGCCGCGUGAGUGAUGAAGGUCUUCGGAUUGUAAAGCUCUGUCUUUGGGGACGAUAAUGACGGUACCCAAGGAGGAAGCCACGGCUAACUACGUGCCAGCAGCCGCGGUAAUACGUAGGUGGCAAGCGUUGUCCGGAUUUACUGGGCGUAAAGAGUAUGUAGGCGGAUAUUUAAGUCAGAUGUGAAAUUCCCGGGCUUAACCUGGGCGCUGCAUUUGAAACUGGGUAUCUAGAGUGCGGGAGAGGAAAGUGGAAUUCCUAGUGUAGCGGUGAAAUGCGUAGAGAUUAGGAAGAACACCGGUGGCGAAGGCGGCUCUCUGGACCGAUACUGACGCUGAGACGCGAAAGCGUGGGUAGCAAA
rnacentral:rRNA from 1 species